GACGAACGCUGGCGGCGUGCUUAACACAUGCAAGUCGAGCGGUAAGGCCCUUCGGGGUACACGAGCGGCGAACGGGUGAGUAACACGUGGGUGAUCUGCCUCGCACUUCGGGAUAAGCCUGGGAAACUGGGUCUAAUACCGGAUAUGACCUGCUGUCGCAUGGCGGUGGGUGGAAAGAUUUAUCGGUGCGAGAUGGGCCCGCGGCCUAUCAGCUUGUUGGUGGGGUAAUGGCCUACCAAGGCGACGACGGGUAGCCGGCCUGAGAGGGCGACCGGCCACACUGGGACUGAGACACGGCCCAGACUCCUACGGGAGGCAGCAGUGGGGAAUAUUGCACAAUGGGCGAAAGCCUGAUGCAGCGACGCCGCGUGAGGGAUGACGGCCUUCGGGUUGUAAACCUCUUUCGACAGGGACGAAGCGUAAGUGACGGUACCUGUAGAAGAAGCACCGGCCAACUACGUGCCAGCAGCCGCGGUAAUACGUAGGGUGCGAGCGUUGUCCGGAAUUACUGGGCGUAAAGAGCUUGUAGGCGGUUUGUCGCGUCGUCCGUGAAAACUUGGGGCUCAACCCCAAGCUUGCGGGCGAUACGGGCAGACUUGAGUACUGCAGGGGAGACUGGAAUUCCUGGUGUAGCGGUGAAAUGCGCAGAUAUCAGGAGGAACACCGGUGGCGAAGGCGGGUCUCUGGGCAGUAACUGACGCUGAGAAGCGAAAGCGUGGGUAGCGAACAGGAUUAGAUACCCUGGUAGUCCACGCCGUAAACGGUGGGUACUAGGUGUGGGUUUCCUUCCACGGGAUCCGUGCCGUAGCUAACGCAUUAAGUACCCCGCCUGGGGAGUACGGCCGCAAGGCUAAAACUCAAAGGAAUUGACGGGGGCCCGCACAAGCGGCGGAGCAUGUGGAUUAAUUCGAUGCAACGCGAAGAACCUUACCUGGGUUUGACAUACACCGGAAACCUGCAGAGAUGUAGGCCCCCUUGUGGUCGGGUGUACAGGUGGUGCAUGGCUGUCGUCAGCUCGUGUCGUGAGAUGUUGGGUUAAGUCCCGCAACGAGCGCAACCCUUAUCUUAUGUUGCCAGCGCGUAAUGGCGGGGACUCGUGAGAGACUGCCGGGGUCAACUCGGAGGAAGGUGGGGACGACGUCAAGUCAUCAUGCCCCUUAUGUCCAGGGCUUCACACAUGCUACAAUGGCCGGUACAGAGGGCUGCGAUACCGUGAGGUGGAGCGAAUCCCUUAAAGCCGGUCUCAGUUCGGAUCGGGGUCUGCAACUCGACCCCGUGAAGUUGGAGUCGCUAGUAAUCGCAGAUCAGCAACGCUGCGGUGAAUACGUUCCCGGGCCUUGUACACACCGCCCGUCACGUCAUGAAAGUCGGUAACACCCGAAGCCGGUGGCCUAACCCCUUGUGGGA
rnacentral:rRNA from 1 species